CUCUACAGAACUGUUUCAUGAGGGGUUCCCUCAAUCUCCUGAUGAUUGAGGGAACCCCUCAUGAAACGGUUCUGUAGAGAUGAAGUAGUCUUGUGAUUUUUCCCACACAUACAUAUAUGUAUAUAUUUAUGAAAUACUUGACUUUCAAUGAAUUCUAGCUAUAUAUAUUUAUUUUAUUAUAUAUAUAUAUAUAUAUAUAUAUAUAUAUAUAUAUAUAUAUAUAUAUAUAUAUAUAGAAAUAAAAUAAAUAGUUGAAUUUCAGACGGCACCUAUCAAAUACACAGUAAUAAAUACACAGUUCUACUAACUGUACUGUGCUUGCUGGUUAUUUAAAAAAAAAAAACAACAACACUUACCUUUCAUUAUUUGAGUAACCUUUGUUCUGCCAUUUGUGUGCCGUACUGGCGAGAGUCACUUGCCGUCAGGUGCACAACCCCAUGUAAAUCUUUGGCCAAUCAAAAAGCAACCCCAUAACGCUAUAGCCAAUAGUCACCAGGAGAUGGCGACAGACAACAUAGGAUCACUCUAUUACAAACGGCGUCGCCAUGGCUGUAACUUCCUCGUCCUUCUGCUUCGUCUCCUUGUGUGUGCAGUUUUUUCUUAAAAAUCCGUAGAUGUUGUAACGUGAUUGGGCAGGCAAUUUGUUUACAUCGUGGGAAUCAUGUCUGCAUGGAGCUGGAGGGGGCGUGAAUUUCGGGAGGUUUCCGUGAGAAAAUUUCUUCCGGGAGGUUUUCGGGAGAGGCGCUGAAUUUCAGGAGUCUCCCGGAAAUUCCGGGAGGGUUGGCAAGUAUGGACUCGGCCGGGGUUCGAACUCACGACCUACCGAUCUCAGGGCAUACACUCUAACCACUUACCUGAUUGGCUGUUAGCGUGUCACUCCCACUGAUCAGUCAUCACUUCCUGUCUUGCUGGGUUACCAGAGAGCGAGUGCAUUUGUUUAUUUCAGACAAAGAAGAAAUUAAAAUUAACACAUUUUGUAAUUGAUAUCAAUUUUUGUGUAUCGCGAUAUAUACUGAUAUCAUUGUAUCGCCCAGCCCUAGUACUAAUCACAGGACUAAUUACUUAGUGUCUUAUUCAAAUUCCCAUCGUAAUGUUUGUUACGACUAAUGAGUAAACGACUUUCGUCACACACAAACAAACAAAGGCCUUCUGGCAAAUGAACACAUACUGCAGUACUCUCUGCAGUUAAGUAAAUCAAGCUGGCCAGGGCCACUAUUUGAGGAAAUAGGGUUGGCUAUGUUUAGCUUAAUCUUCCUACUAGUAAAAAAAACAAAAACAAAAAAAAAAUAUUGGCUGUGUCUCAAAUGGAACACUUCCAUCAUUACUUUCCAAAGGUUUCUGGGCCGUAUUUGUUUGGUGCUCACUAGUUGAUAAAAACCAAACAAGUCGACACCUCUUGUCAAUGUAAAACAAGGAAGUUAGGACCUGAGUGCAGGGUGGAUGAAGAUAUGGUCUUUUUUUUAAUGAAGAGGAGGAAGAAAAUGAAAAAUAUAAGUCUGAGAAAGUUAUGCAUCAGUUUCACUUUCCUUCAGAGCACAUAAAAGUGUGUUAAAGGACAAUCAAAGUGGGAAAUCCCAACACUUGAUUGAAAAAAUAAUUGAAACAAUGACCUACAAUACAAAAACUACACAAAGUUUUGUCUUUCAAAUAUAUAAAAGUAAACAACAAAGUCACAAAGAUGAUUAUCAAGGCUUACGUCAGGUUGAUCACCAAAAUAAAUAGUUAUCAAAUAAACUGCAAAAGUGGGACUGAUAAAAAAAAUAAAUUUACAUACAAUUGCACAGUGCCAAAAUACAUUAAUAAUAAAUAACAUUAUAUGCGUUUCUUAAAUAAACUGCCAAUACAAUCAAAGCGCAAAUGAAAACACAACUUCCCCACUAUAGUCAUAAUUUUUUGCGCUUAAAAAAACUCCAGGCGUUUUCUGUUUGUUUGUCAUUGUCAUUACUGCCACAAGUGGCGGAAAAGUGUAUUACAGCUUACGGCCCACAGGUGAGACAGAUAUUUUUUGGUGGCCCUCGUCCUACCGAUCAGAAAUAAUGACCUAUGAGGCAAAACCCACACAAAGUUUUGUUUUUCAAAUAUAUAAAAGUAAACAAUAAAGUCACAAAGAUGAUUAUCAAGGCUUAGGUCAGACUGAUCAAUAGUUUUGACUAAAUUAAUAAUGAAUAAAAACAUUAUAUAUUUUUCUUAAAUUGUCAAUACAAUUAAAGUGUAAAUGAAAACACAACUUCCCUACUUUAGUCAUAAUUUUUGCGCUUAAGAAACCUGUCUAUGACUUCAGCUCCAGGCUUCUGUUUGUUUGACAUUGUCAUUACUGCCACAAGUGGCGGAAAAGUGUAUUACAGCUGAGACAUAUAUUUUUGGUGGCCCUUGACCUACGGUUCAGAAACAAUGAGCUAUAAUACAAAACCCACACAAAGUUUCUUCUUUCAAAUAUAUAAAACUAAAUAACAAAGAUGAUUAUCAAGGCGUAUGUCAGACUGAUCACAAAAGUAAAUAGUUGUAACUAAAUUAAUAUCAAAUCAUAACAUUAUAUAUAUAUAUAUAUAUAUAUUAAAUUGUCAAUACAAUUAAAGUGUAAAUGAAAACACAACUUCCCUACUUUAGUCAUAAUUUUUGCGCUUAAGAAACCUGUCUAUGACUUCAACUCCAGGCUUCUGUUUUUUUGACAUUGUCAUUACUGCCACAAGUGGCGGAAAAGUGUAUUACAGCUGAGACAUAUAUUUUUGGUGGCCCUUGACCUACGGUUCAGAAACAAUGAGCUAUAAUACAAAACCCACACAAAGUUUCUUCUUUCAAAUAUAUAAAACUAAAUACCAAAGAUGAUUAUCAAGGCGUAUGUCAGACUGAUCACAAAAGUAAAUAGUUGUAACUAAAUUAAUAUCAAAUCAUAACAUUAUAUAUAUAUAUAUAUAUAUAUAUUAAAUUGUCAAUACAAUUAAAGUGUAAAUGAAAACACAACUUCCCUACUUUAGUCAUAUUUUUUGCGCUUAAGAAACCUGUCUAUGACUUCAACUCCAGGGUUCUGUUUUUUUGACAUUGUCAUUACUGCCACAAGUGGCGGAAAGGUGUAUUACAGCUGAGACAUAUAUUUUGGUGGCCCUUGACCUACGGUUCAGAAACAAUGAGCUAUAAUACAAAACCCACACAAAGUUUUGUCUUUAAAAUAUAUAAAACUAAAUAACAAAGAUGAUUAUCAAGGCUUAUGUCGGACUGGUCACAAAAGUAAAUAGUUGUAACUAAAUUAAUAUCAAAUCAUAACAUUAUAUAUAUAUAUAUUAAAUUGUCAAUACAAUUAAAGUGUAAAUGAAAACACAACUUCCCUACUUUAGUCAUAAUUUUUGCGCUUAAGAAAAACCUUUCUAUGACUUCAGCUCCAGGCUUCUGUUUUUUUGACAUUGUCAUUACUGCCACAAGUGGCGGAAAGGUGUAUUACAGCUGAGACAUAUAUUUUUGGUGGCCCUUGACCUACGGUUCAGAAACAAUGAGCUAUAAUACAAAACGCAACAACAUUUCUUCUUUCAAAUAUAUAAAAUCACUGAAAAAGAGUAAGUCGGAGAUAAGUAAGGAAGUGGGCCAACUGAGACACAGUCAACUCUGUCCGACCUGAAUGCAGCAAUGUAUGUGCUAAAAAUGAUAGAAAAAAAUAAAAAUAAAUAAUGGCUGGUGAUGCCCUGGUCCCUUCUGCAUCGACCUUUGACCCCCUUUGUCAUGAUGAUGGCUAUUAUUAACGAUUGUGUGGUCGGUGGCAGUGAUAUGUUCACUUUAUUGCUUUGUAUCAUCUCCCAGCUGUCUGCAGACUCCGUAUCGGCCAGCAUUGCACGUGUGCGACAUACUGUACAGUACAGUAGAGGUUUUUUUUCCCGUUUUUUUCAUUUCUUUUACUGAACCAAUCAGCUAUCAGGGAUGUUAUCAACAGCCGUGUAGCAUUACUGUCACCACGGCAACAGUAGCAUUACGUUAGACCGGUGUUGUCGCCUUCGAGGAAAACAAGCGACACGUGCUCGUUUUCACGUUUAAUUUAUCGGAUGUACAAAUUUUUUAUUUUUUUUUAUUUUUUCCGAGUGGAUGGAAUAUUCCGGACUUUCGCCAGUGUGCAAGUGGGAGCGUGACAAUGGAAAGUAGUCAUUAUAGCUUCCUCCCCUCUCUCCGGUGUCAUGUAGCCCGUAGACAUGCCCCCGUGUCCUGUUACCGUGAUUGCGCAAUAGUGUCCAGUCACUGUCCACUUCCUGCAUGUGCUUGUUUGUAAAUACACACAAUAAAAAACCCUCAGUAUGAACCGAA